CUGGCGGCGUGCCUACACAUGCAAGUCGAACGAGAAAGCGGGGGCAACUCCGCGAGUAAAGUGGCGACCGGGUGAGUAACACGUGACUAACCUACCCUCGAGCGGGGGAUAACCCCGGGAAACCGGGGCUAAUACCGCAUGACGUCUUCGAUGCGAAAGUAUUGAGGAUCAAAGGAGCAAUUCACUUGAGGAGGGGGUCGCGGCCGAUUAGCUAGUUGGCGGGGUAACGGCCCACCAAGGCUGAGAUCGGUAGCCGGCCUGAGAGGGCGCACGGCCACACUGGAACUGAAACACGGUCCAGACUCCUACGGGAGGCAGCAGUGGGGAAUUUUGCGCAAUGGGGGGAACCCUGACGCAGCAACGCCGCGUGGAGGAUGAAGUCCCUUGGGACGUAAACUCCUUUCGACCGGGAAGAUAAUGACGGUACCGGAAGAAGAAGCACCGGCUAACUCUGUGCCAGCAGCCGCGGUAAUACAGAGGGUGCGAGCGUUGUUCG
rnacentral:rRNA from 1 species